AGCAGCCGCGGUAAUUCCAGCUCCAAUAGCGUAUAUUAAAGUUGUUGCAGUUAAAAAGCUCGUAGUUGAAUUUUGGAUUCUUCCAAUUGGUCCAUCUUUUAGAUGAGUACUGGUUGUGUGGGGUCUAUCCGCCUGGUGAUACGUAAUGUCCUUUAUUGGAUGUUGCGGGUAGUCAGGACCUUUACCUUGAAAAAUUAGAGUGUUUAAAGCAGGCUUAUGCCGGAAUACAUUAGCAUGGAAUAAUAGAAUAGGACGAAGUUGUUUUAUUUUGUUGGUUUCUAGGACAACCGUAAUGAUUAAUAGGGAUAGUUGGGGGCAUUAGUAUUCAAUUGUCAGAGGUGAAAUUCUUGGAUUUAUUGAAGACUAACUACUGCGAAAGCAUUUGCCAAGGAUGUUUUCAUUAAUCAAGAACGAAAGUUAGG
rnacentral:rRNA from 1 species